UACGUAGGGGGGCUAGCGUUGUCCGGAAUCAUUGGGCGUAAAGAGCGCGUAGGCGGCCAGAUAAGUCCGGUGUGAAAGUCAAAGGCUCAACCUUUGAAUGCCGCUGGAAACUGUCUGGCUAGAGUCCGGGGAGGGGCGAGUGGAAUUCCUGGUGUAGCGGUGGAAUGCGCAGAUAUCAGGAGGAACACCGGUGGCGAAGGCGGUUCUCUGGGCAUUACCUGACGCUGAGGAGCGAAAGCAUGGGGGAGCGAACAGG
rnacentral:rRNA from 1 species